rnacentral:rRNA from 1 species
AGAGUUUGAUCAUGGCUCAGGACGAACGCUGGCGGCGUGCCUAACACAUGCAAGUCGAGCGAGAUACGUCUGGUCUUCGGACCAGGCAUUAUCGAGCGGCGAACGGGUGAGUAACACGUGAAGAACCUGCCCCAGAGACCGGGAUAACCCGGGGAAACUCGAGCUAAUACCGGAUAUUUUCUUCGGACCACAUGGUCUGAUGAGGAAAUGGUCCGCUGCUCUGGGAGGGCUUCGCGGCCUAUCAGCUAGUUGGUGGGGUAAUGGCCCACCAAGGCUACGACGGGUAGCUGGUCUGAGAGGACGAUCAGCCACACUGGGACUGAGACACGGCCCAGACUUCUACGGAAGGCAGCAGUGGGGAAUCUUGCGCAAUGGGCGAAAGCCUGACGCAGCAACGCCGCGUGGGGGAUGAAGGCUCUCGGGUUGUAAACCCCUUUCAGCAGGGACGAAAAUGACGGUACCUGCAGAAGAAGCUCCGGCCAACUACGUGCCAGCAGCCGCGGUAACACGUAGGGAGCAAGCGUUGUCCGGAUUUAUUGNGCGUAAAGAGCUCGUAGGCUGCUCAGUAAGUCGGGUGUGAAAUUUCAGGGCUUAACCCUGAAACGCCACCCGAUACUGCUGUGGCUAGAGUAUGG